UACGUAGGGUGCAAGCGUUAAUCGGAAUUACUGGGCGUAAAGCGUGCGCAGGCGGUUGUGCAAGACAGAUGUGAAAUCCCCGGGCUCAACCUGGGAACUGCAUUUGUGACUGCAUGACUAGAGUACGGUAGAGGGGGAUGGAAUUCCGCGUGUAGCAGUGAAAUGCGUAGAUAUGCGGAGGAACACCGAUGGCGAAGGCAAUCCCCUGGACCUGUACUGACGCUCAUGCACGAAAGCGUGGGGAGCAAACAGG
rnacentral:rRNA from 1 species